rfam:Stenotrophomonas maltophilia strain JCM 9942 contig_48, whole genome shotgun sequence.
GCCGAAGUGGCGGAAUCGGUAGACGCAGCGGAUUCAAAAUCCGCCGCCCUUAAAAGCGUGUGGGUUCGAGUCCCACCUUCGGCA